rnacentral:rRNA from 1 species
CAAUCACUUGUCCUUUAAAUGGGGACCUGUAUGAAUGGCACGACGAGGGCUUAGCUGUCUCCCCUAUCCUGUUACUGAAAUUGAUCUCCCCGUGCAGAAGCCGGGAUAACUACAUAAGACGAGAAGACCCUGUGGAGCUUUAGACACUUAAGCGACCCAAAUAGAGCAACUCACCACAAAUGAGCUGACUCCCGAUGGUAAGACACCGUUUAGUGUCUUUGGUUGGGGCGACCGUUCGGGAAAAGAAAACCCCAUGAGGACCUGGGGCGACCCCACACAUAGCCGAAGCCACCACUUCGAGGCAUCAAACCCUUUCCCCUAAUGUCCGGCCCAACCGGCGAUCAACGAAGCCGAGUUACUCCUCAGGGUAACAGCCAAUCCCCUCCCAGAGCCCA